AACUACGUCGUGUUUCGUUCUCCAUUUCGCUUAAAUGCCCUAAUCCCCUUAAAUCAAGAGAAUAGACCCCUCCCUUUAGAAAAACCCUAGCAGUCGCCCCUGCUCUCACCUCAAUCUCGGAGAAAGCACACGAAAAUUCUCGCACACUUACUCUCUCAUCUAAAUUCUUCAUAUCUGCACUAACCCAUCUUCACACACGCAUGGAAGGUAAUCAAUAACUAGGUGGAGAACUUUCAGAAAAUUCAAAAAAAAAAAAGGAAACUCCAAAACUGGAUUCGAAAAGCUAAAAAUAGAGGAGCUUCUAAAACUUUGGGUUUUUAAGGGUUUGUCAGGGUCAAAAUCACUGCUGCUUAAUGUUGAAACUAUUGUAUCUGCGUAGCUGAAUUCUCUCUGUUUUCCUUACCUUUGUUCGGGUUCAUUUCCUUCUCCUUGUUCGAAGUUCAAGAUAAAAGUUCUUAUAGAUUUCUAAAUGUACUGAGUUGUAUGAUUAUAUAGUUUUUUGUGCUACAAAUUGAGUGGAAUUCUUGGAAUCAUGUUUUUGACUUCAGAUCUAUUUGUUGGUGUUUAUCUGUUAACGACUGAACGAGGCUAGUGACUUAGGUUUGAGUUUUAUUUUAAUUGGAAUUAGUUGUUAAUCAGUUUGACUUUUGCUCCUAUUGCUUUUUCCACGGUAGUUCAUCACGUUAAUGAACACUUAAUAUCAUGUUCGGUAUCUGUAUCUUCACUUGUAAGACCACUGAUUUGCACUCAAGUGUGUUGAAAUACAAAUAUUUUUGUUCAUUUAAAAUAGGAUCUGAAACUAAAAUUCUCAGGUUAAAUUAAGAUUAGAAAGAGGCUUCAACAUCAGGCCAUGAAUCCAAUUUGUAUUAACUAACGAGAAGGUAACCAUUUAUGCAAUAGUUUAGUUCAGUUGAGUAAUGUUCUGGCUUAGAAUUUGAGCAUCUUCGAAUAGCUCUCAGUAUAGUUUGUCUCUUUCAUGUUUAUAUGGUCAUAUUUUAAGAUUCUUUAUCUUGUUAUAAGAUUUUAUUAGCUUCAUUCUUAAAUUUGAAAACAAAGCUGGUUAAGAGUUUCCAUGAAUUUGAUUAAGUUGAUUUGAGUUGCUUUAUUAACUAAUAUGUUGUUUUGUUUACUUUGUUGAUAUGGAAUUCAUAUUGCGAUUCCGAGAGUUAGAUUAGCUCUGUUAUGUCAUUUGAGACUUGCAUGCAAAAUUGGACGUCAUUCCGAGUAGAUUUGAUAUGUUUCGGCGUGAGUUGUAGAAGUUGAAAGUCCAUAAGUUCAUUAAGUUUGAUUUGAGGUGUGUUUUAUAGUUUUGAUAUUUUUUAUGUGAUUUGAGACCUCGAGCAGGUCCGUGUUAUUUGUUGGGACUUAUGGGUAUGUUCGGAUGUGGUCCCGAGGGGCUCAGGUGAGAUUUUGAAUAGGUUUGGGUUGUGUUGCGCUCGUUUUUAUGUUUUGACUUUAUUUUUUCAAGCAUAAAUUAUACCACAUUAAGAAAAUUAGAUCCAAUUUCUAUUUCAAUUGUAUAAAUACAUCCCUAUUGUAAUUACGAAGCCAUAGCAAAAAGAAACGUCAAAUUUGGGUUGUGUUAUGCUCAUUUUAGUGUCGGAGAAGAGAGCUGGUGCUAGCGCUUCGCAGAUGCGAAGGUGGGUCCGCAUUUGCGACCCUGCAGGUGCGACAAUGGUCCCCAAAGGCGGAAAUUGCAGCUGAAAAUGUUUAGGUGCGGAUGUUUUGUCGCAAAAUCGAAAAUCCCUGAGUAUAAAAAACCAGACCGCGUUAUUUUGGUAUUUUGAGUAUAUCUUGAGUUCUAGAGCUCCAAUUGAGGUGAUGUUUGCGGCGUUCUUCUCAUAUUUUCAUGGGGUCAGUAUCUAACUAUAAUUAUUUUAUUUUAAUAUGAUUAUAGAAGUUCAUUUUUGAAUUAAUCCAUAUUUUGAUAGGAAAAUUGGGAGCUUUUAUCAAAAACUUUUCUAAAGAAAAUAAUUGGAUUUUUAACAUCGACUCGGAGUCAAAAUUUACAUGAAAUUUGUAUGGUUAGACUCAUAAUUAAAUUGAUAUUCCAAUUUUGUAAAUUUUAUCGGUCUGAGGUCCGGGCCCGGGGGUCGACUUUUGGGUUGAUUUUUAGUUUUUGACAAAGAUUGAAGCUUUAUUAUUCAGAAUAGUUUNNNNNNNNNNNNNNNNNNNNNNNUUUCACUCGAGAAGUUCAUUUUAGAAUAGCGGUCUAGCUUCUUUGAGGUAAUUAUCUUACCUAACUUUGUGUGGGAAACAACCUUAGGAUUUGAGUCUUUGGUGCUAAUGGUGUCAUGUGAAGCCGUGUACGCGAGGUGAAGAGUACGUGCUCGGGCUUAUUUGUGGAAAUUUGACUGUUUAGGGCUCUUAGGUUCUUAUGUUCAUUAGAUAUGAAAUUGUUUUGUUAUGUUAAAUUCUCCAUUCACUAAAUUCACCUUAUGUGUCUUAAUUGGAAUUAAUUGUUCCAUGUUUUACUCUUAUUACCGAUUAAACUUUUAUGUGCCUUAACUGAAGUUGUUACUUCUUUUAUUACUAUAUUAUCCUUUCCAUAAUUACUUAUCCUUAAUUGAGUUUGUUAAUUCUCUUUCGUAAUUGCUCGACCCUAAUUGAAGAUUUGUGAUCCCUUAUCAUUGUUGACUUACCCUUAAUUGGAGUCAUUGAUUCACGUUAUCCCUCCUAUCAUUGAAUUUGUACUUAUGUGGUAUCUUUUCUACACAGUAUCUCUUCCUUGCUGAGUUAUUGCUAUGUUGUACCUUUCCUUGUGAGUGAGUUCUUCCGUCUCUCUAUGUCUGGAGUUCCCGAGUUGAUUUACUUGUCGUAUUCUUGUAUUUUUGUCACUGUUACAUAUCUACUUUUGGGACUACGAGACGGUAUUGUAUUGGAAAAAAAUUGAGUUUACAUAUUUAAGUGAUUGCAAGAUGACGUGCCAUGACACAUAGACUGGUCAAAAAGUUAUGAUUGGCAAAGAGGCACGAGUUGCAACAGAUACGAGCAGAGGCAUAAGAGGAAGCACGAGCAGAUACUCAAGAGAUUCAACGCUCGUACCUAUUUAAGUCCAAGGGAAUGAAUCUGACAGUUCACGAGAGUACAGACAAUAUUUAAUGAGCCUUAAAUACUAAAAAUGUUAGAGAAUUUGUAUAAAUACAAUGAUUAUAUAACGUAGCAUUAAUGUCUUUAAUUGCCUAUAAUGACCUUAUUAUGAUAAAUGCAAAACGCAUAUCUCCAAAGUAGCUAUUUUUUAAAAUAUCAUGUACAUAUUAUGGCAUUAUGACGUGGAUUAUGUGUUUUGUUACUGUUCAGUCUUUAUUUACUCUUAUUAUUUACUGAGUUGGCGUACUCACAUUACUCCUUGCACCUUGUGUGCAGAUCCAGGUAUUUCUGAACCCGGUAGCGAGUGUUAAUUACUCAGUGGCAGGUUCAUCGGAGUUAGCAAGGUAGUUGCCCGACGUUCGCAGCCCUGCUCUUCUCCCUCUUAUCUUCCUAAGACUGUUUUUAGUAUAUAUUUUAAGAAUCUUUGUUGUAUUCAGACCUUAGUAGAUGCUCGUGACUUGUGACACUCCGAUGUCGGGCUUGUGUAUUUAUUCUGCACUGGUUACUUAGACAUAUAUUAUGAGAUUUCUUGCUAAUUAAUGGCU
rnacentral:lncRNA from 1 species